GAGGUCACACCCGUUCCCAUACCGAACACGGAAGUUAAGCUCUUCAGCGCCGAUGGUAGUUGGGGGUUUCCCCCUGUGAGAGUAGGACGUCGCCG
rnacentral:rRNA from 1 species